rnacentral:rRNA from 1 species
UACGUAGGGUGCAAGCGUUGUCCGGAAUUAUUGGGCGUAAAGAGCUCGUAGGCUGUCUGUCGCGUCGGAUGUGAAAAUCCAGGGCUCAACCCUGGACCUGCAUUCGAUACGGGCAGACUAGAGUUCGGUAGGGGAGACUGGAAUUCCUGGUGUAGCGGUGAAAUGCGCAGAUAUCAGGAGGAACACCGGUGGCGAAGGCGGGUCUCUUGGCCGAAACUGACGCUGAGGAGCGAAAGCGUGGGGAGCGAACCGG